AUUCAACUAACGAGUCCCAAAUAGGAUGAAAUGCGCGUGCUGGAU
rnacentral:hammerhead_ribozyme from 1 species